CCAAACUCCUACGGGAGGCAGCAGUGAGGAAUAUUGGUCAAUGGACGAGAGUCUGAACCAGCCAAGUAGCGUGCAGGAUGACGGCCCUAUGGGUUGUAAAACUGCUUUUAUAAGGGAAUAAAGUGAGAGUCGUGACUCUUUUGCAUGUACCUUAUGAAUAAGGACCGGCUAAUUCCGUGC
rnacentral:rRNA from 1 species